rnacentral:rRNA from 1 species
UGGGGAAUAUUGGACAAUGGGCGCAAGCCUGAUCCAGCAAUGCCGCGUGUGUGAAGAAGGCCUUCGGGUUGUAAAGCACUUUUAUCAGGAGCGAAAUACUAUCGGUUAAUAACCGGUGGGGCUGACGGUACCUGAGGAAUAAGCACCGGCUAACUUCGUGCCAGCAGCCGCGGUAAUACGAAGGGUGCAAGCGUUAAUCGGAAUUACUGGGCGUAAAGGGUGCGUAGGCGGUUAGUUAAGUCUGUUGUGAAAUCCCCGGGCUCAACCUGGGAAUGGCAAUGGAUACUGGCUAGCUAGAGUGUGUCAGAGGAUGGUGGAAUUCCCGGUGUAGCGGUGAAAUGCGUAGAGAUCGGGAGGAACAUCAGUGGCGAAGGCGGCCAUCUGGGACUAAUACUGACACUGAGGUGCGAAAGCGUGGGGAGCAAACA